CGAAAAGCGCGGGAGAGGAAGAGGGAGAGGGUGUUUUCUUGGAGUGAAACGGAAAGUGAGCGAGAGGGAGAGGGGGCGACUAAGCGAGGCUGUUCUUGCGCUCUGUUAAUGGCAGAUACCCUUUUCCUUUGAUAUUUGGUUCCAUGUGGAAUCCGCUCUCUCGAGUUAUCCUCCUGUCAUUCUGCGAAUCUGGUUGCACCGGCAAGAAAGAACAUGGGCGCGCAAGGAAUGGCUCAUUCAAUGCCGGAAAUUAUGCAGGUAUGCCUUGUUCAGUAUUCCAAGGUGGUGCAUGCUUGUGUUGCUCUGGUGGGCUCGUAUGAAAAUGGGCGCCGUGAUUCUGCUGGAGUGAGGAUUAAAGUUUGCAGGGCUGUCGAAAGAUGUUUUUACUCUCAGCUCAUCUUGGCGAAGAAGGGUCCUCUGGGGCCGAUAUGAGUUGCUGCUUAUUUUUGAGAGGAAGCUGAGGAGGAAAAAACAGGUCGCGGACACGGACAUCGCCGUCUCUGUAGUAUUCGACUCUAAAGUGGCGCGUCUCACAUUUUGAUGAUUCAUGUUGCUGUGAAUUGCUGAGACGCCGAUGGCACGCCCUUGUUGUAUUAUUUUUACAGAUCAUAGCCCAUGUCAUGCUGCUUCACUCUUGUUUAUUCUUCCGGUUUCUUGUUCAUGUCCAUUAUCUUGAAAAUAA